rnacentral:rRNA from 1 species
CCUACGGGGGGCAGCAGUGAGGAAUAUUGGUCAAUGGACGAGAGUCUGAACCAGCCAAGUAGCGUGAAGGAUGACUGCCCUAUGGGUUGUAAACUUCUUUUAUAUGGGAAUAAAAUGUUCCACGUGUGGGAUUUUGUAUGUAUCAUAUGAAUAAGGAUCGGCUAACUCCGUGCCAGCAGCCGCGGUAAUACGGAGGAUCCGAGCGUUAUCCGGAUUUAUUGGGUUUAAAGGGAGCGUAGGUGGAUUGUUAAGUCAGUUGUGAAAGUUUGCGGCUCAACCGUAAAAUUGCAGUUGAAACUGGCAGUCUUGAGUACAGUAGAGGUGGGCGGAAUUCGUGGUGUAGCGGUGAAAUGCUUAGAUAUCACGAAGAACUCCGAUUGCGAAGGCAGUUCACUGGACUGCAACUGACACUGAGGCUCGAAAGUGUGGGUAUCAAACAGGAUUAGAUACCCUUGUAGUC